GGCGGCAUGCUUAACACAUGCAAGUCGAACGCUUCUCGGGGCUUCGGCCUUGAGGGGAGUGGCGCACGGGUGAGUAGCGCGUGGGAACCUGCCCUGGAGUGGGGGAUAACCGAGGGAAACUUCGGCUAAUACCGCAUGCGCCCGCUGGAGUGAUCUGGCGGGGAAAGAUUUAUCGCUCUAGGAGGGGCCCGCGUCGGAUUAGCUUGUUGGUGGGGUAACGGCCUACCAAGGCUUUGAUCCGUAGCUGGUCUGAGAGGAUGAUCAGCCACACUGGGACUGAGACACGGCCCAGACUCCUACGGGAGGCAGCAGUGGGGAAUAUUGGACAAUGGGCGCAAGCCUGAUCCAGCAAUGCCGCGUGAGUGAGGAAGGCCUUAGGGUUGUAAAGCUCUUUCGGCGGGGACGAUGAUGACGGUACCCGCAGAAGAAGCCCCGGCUAACUUCGUGCCAGCAGCCGCGGUAAUACGAANGGGGCGAGCGUUGUUCGGAUUUACUGGGCGUAAAGGGCGCGUA
rnacentral:rRNA from 1 species